GGGGGCGUAGCUCAACUGGUAGAGCAACGGACUUUUAAUCCGUAGGUUGUGGGAUCGUGCCCCACCGCCCUCA
rnacentral:tRNA from 1 species